GCUGGCGUAGCUCAGCUGGUAGAGCAGCGCACUCGUAAUGCGCAGGUCCGCGGUUCGAAUCCGCGCGCCAGCUCCG
rnacentral:tRNA from 1 species